rnacentral:rRNA from 1 species
UGAGUUUGAUCCUGGCUCAGAAUGAACGCUAUUAGUAUGCUUUACACAUGCGAGUUUAACUUUUUGUUAAUUAUAUAUAACAACAGUAGCGAACGGGUGAGUAAUAUGUAGAAUGGUUACCUUUUAAUUAUGUAUAAAACAAUUUCAUAAUUCUAUAAAAGUUUUAUGUUUACUAUCAUAAAUGUUAAUACUAAAAUUUUUUGUUAAAAGAUACGUCUAUGUAAGAUUAGGUAGUUGAUUAGUUUGAAACCUUUUCAAGCCUUUGAUCUUUAGUUGAUUUUAGAGAAUGAUCAACCACACUGGAACUGAGACAAGGUCCAGGCUAAAUUUAGCCAGCAGUGAGGAAUAUUGGACAAUGAACGAAAGUUUGAUCCAGCAAUACUAAGUGAAAGAUGACGGCUUAUUGGUUGUAAAUUUUUUUCAUUAAAUAUGAUAAUGACAUGUUUAAAAAAGAAGUCCCGGCUAAUUUCGUGCCAGCAGCCGCGGUAAUACGAGAGGGGCAAGCGUUAUUCGGAAUUACUGGGCGUAAAGGGUUCGUAGACAGUAUUGUAAGUUAUAUGUUAAAAUUUAAAAAAAUAUUUAAAAAAACAUUUAAUACUACUUUACUUGAGUUAUAAUUAGAAAAAUAGAAUUCCAUGUGGAAAGGUAACAUUUUACAAUCUAUGGAGGAAUAUCUGAAGUGAAAACGAUUUUUUAUGAUUAACUGACGUUGAGGGACGAAAGUAUAGGUAGCAAACAGGAUUAGAUACCCUGGUAGUCUGUACCGUAAACUAUGAAUGCUAAAAUUUAAAUAAAUAAUUUAGAUUUGAAGCUAACGCGUUAAGCAUUCCGCCUGAGGAGUAUAAUCGCAAGGUUGGAACUCAAAGGAAUUGACGGGGGCCUACUAUAAGUGGUGGAGCAUGUGGUUUAAUGCGAUAAUCCGCGCAAAAUCCCAGGCGCCACGCCCUCAAACCCGGCAAUCACCAGUCGAACCAAACGAGCCUGGGUUUGAUCCCCAAAGGAGAAAUCGAAUCCCUUUUCGGUUUUGGAGACUUCCGCAGGCUGGGGAAUUAACUUUUGCACCGCUUCCGGAAAUGACCCCGGGGCAAACAUCGAAUCCGGGCAUGCUACCAAUUCAUCCUUCCCUGCUUCGUCACACAACAAGACGGGCUUUCGCUUCAGCAAUUCGCUUCUUCCCUCAUG